UUGCUUCUCUUGAGAGCGGCGGACGGGUGAGUAAUGCCUAGGAAUCUGCCUAGUGGUGGGGGAUAACGUUCGGAAACGGACGCUAAUACCGCAUACGUCCUACGGGAGAAAGCGGGGGAUCUUCGGACCUCGCGCCAUUAGAUGAGCCUAGGUCGGAUUAGCUAGUUGGUGAGGUAAUGGCUCACCAAGGCGACGAUCCGUAACUGGUCUGAGAGGAUGAUCAGUCACACUGGAACUGAGACACGGUCCAGACUCCUACGGGAGGCAGCAGUGGGGAAUAUUGGACAAUGGGCGAAAGCCUGAUCCAGCCAUGCCGCGUGUGUGAAGAAGGUCUUCGGAUUGUAAAGCACUUUAAGUUGGGAGGAAGGGUAGUAACUUAAUACGUUGCUACUUUGACGUUACCGACAGAAUAAGCACCGGCUAACUUCGUGCCAGCAGCCGCGGUAAUACGAAGGGUGCAAGCGUUAAUCGGAAUUACUGGGCGUAAAGCGCGCGUAGGUGGUUCAGUAAGUUGGAAGUGAAAUCCCCGGGCUCAACCUGGGAACUGCUUUCAAAACUGCUGAGCUAGAGUACGGUAGAGGGUGGUGGAAUUUCCUGUGUAGCGGUGAAAUGCGUAGAUAUAGGAAGGAACGCCAGUGGCGAAGGCGACCACCUGGACUGAUACUGACACUGAGGUGCGAAAGCGUGGGGAGCAAACAGGAUUAGAUACCCUGGUAGUCCACGCCGUAAACGAUGUCAACUAGCCGUUGGAAUCCUUGAGAUUUUAGUGGCGCAGCUAACGCAUUAAGUUGACCGCCUGG
rnacentral:rRNA from 1 species